rnacentral:rRNA from 1 species
UGGGGAAUCUUGCGCAAUGGCCGCAAGGCUGACGCAGCGACGCCGCGUGUGGGAUGACGGCCUUCGGGUUGUAAACCACUGUCGGGAGGAACGAAUACUCGGCUAGUCCGAGGGUGACGGUACCUCCAAAGGAAGCACCGGCUAACUCCGUGCCAGCAGCCGCGGUAAUACGGAGGGUGCGAGCGUUGUCCGGAAUCACUGGGCGUAAAGGGCGCGUAGGUGGCCCGUUAAGUGGCUGGUGAAAUCCCGGGGCUCAACUCCGGGGCUGCCGGUCAGACUGGCGAGCUAGAGCACGGUAGGGGCAGAUGGAAUUCCCGGUGUAGCGGUGGAAUGCGUAGAGAUCGGGAAGAAUACCAGUGGCGAAGGCGUUCUGCUGGGCCGUUGCUGACACUGAGGCGCGACAGCGUGGGGAGCAAACAGG